AGUGAACGCUGGCGGUAGGCCUAACACAUGCAAGUCGAACGGCAGCACAGUAAGAGCUUGCUCUUACGGGUGGCGAGUGGCGGACGGGUGAGGAAUACAUCGGAAUCUACUUUUUCGUGGGGGAUAGCGUAGGGAAACUUACGCUAAUACCGCAUACGACCUACGGGUGAAAGCAGGGGAUCUUCGGACCUUGCGCGAUUGAAUGAGCCGAUGUCGGAUUAGCUAGUUGGCGGGGUAAAGGCCCACCAAGGCGACGAUCCGUAGCUCGUGUGAGAGGAUGAUCGGCCACACUGGAACUGAGACACGGACCAGGGUCCUACGGGAGGCAGCAGUGGGGAAUAUUGGACAAUGGGCGCAAGCCUGAUCCAGCCAUACCGCGUGGGUGAAGAAGGCCUUCGGGUUGUAAAGCCCUUUUGUUGGGAAAGAAAAGCAGCAGGUUAAUACCCCGCUGUUCUGACGGUACCCAAAGAAUAAGCACCGGCUAACUUCGUG
rnacentral:rRNA from 1 species